rnacentral:lncRNA from 1 species
CCGACCGACGGCAUUCCGCUCAGACCCGUCCACUCACAUGGUAUGUCUAUCGCAUUAUCUCAUUCCUAAUCAGCUUAUGCAUCUACUUCCUUUUCAUGUGAAAGUUGUUGUUGUUGUUUUUACAACAUUUGGGGUUCUUAUUCGGGCUAAGCAUGCGGGUCAAUCUAGCUAGGGUUCUUAUUACUAGUUAAUAUCCUUCAACUUAUUGUAAGUACCCGAAUGUUUAAUCAUUAUGGCACCAAUAUUCAAAAUUAUCGUUGUCUCGUACUGUAUCUACUUUUAGCAAGUCAUAAUCUUUAUGCAAGUUAGAGAACAUUAGUGAAGCCAUGGAAAGACUAACAUGUGUCAAAAUGAAGAGUUUUCUAACCAUAUACCUUGUUUUCUAGGUCAUCUCAUAGAUUUCCCUGUGUUCUCAGAUAUCAGAGGUCAUGUUCGCUGUCUAAACCAUCAAGAAGACCCGAUAGACUGUGACAGUAACACUGAAAGUGAACAAAAAGAUGCAGAUCUGGCCCACUACAGAUGUAGAGGACAUUGUUAUCACGAGCUCUACAACUAUGGUUAGAAUAUGUUUACUUGCUAUAACAAUGCAUACAUAAUGUAAAUUGCCUGCAGUCUAAUGUCUUCGACUACAUUAUGGUAGGAAAAUUGUCAUCAUCAACUUGAAGUAGUGACUAAGGGUAUACAUAUGGUACAUAAAGAGUUCGAAAAACUCAUUUAUCUAACUUCAGAUGCAACCCCAAGCUCAAGUACAUCGAACAGAAAGCGGGUUCAGCCGGUGAGUAGCUCAACUUUUUUUCUGUAAACACUUCCUUAAUUAGUAACCAUGUCUCUCUUCACCCAACCACUUUAUACUCUGGUAGAUGCAUGUACAAUUUGGAAUUAUUGUAUAUGUUGUAACCUCUAUAAAUUUUGUCUAUAGGGGAACUUAGGAUUCUCAAAUGAUGACAAUACAACAAGUGUUUGGCCCUAGAAAAAAUAAUCUGAUGUUGUCAUCAAUGCCCUAGACGUGCAGCAAGAACAACCAGAAGACGUGCAACACACCUGGUUAACAAGUACGACAAAGUAGAUGAUAUGAAGAAGGCCCUGGCAUGGCAACAACUGCAAUCUGAAGCUGUUGCCAAGGCACUGGAAGAGCGUGAGCUAGAACAUGUAUUUGCGAAUCAUCUCGUGCUAGAUAUGCAACAUUGCCAAGAAUCUAUGAAGAUUACCCUUGCAUAACACAAAAAAGUUCUAGAAGGUGUCAAGAAGGCCCUACCAGAGUAACAGGCUCAAAUUGAAUGUCUAAAAUUGGGCUUGUCAUAUCUGCAUUACCAUUUUGAAUCAAUGAACACUGCCCUUGUAUAGCAAACAAGAAGAACCUGACCCAUCCUAUGAUAUGUGAGCAAUGCAACUAAGUCAUAUGUGUCUAAUUUCUAUUCUACAGCUAUGGCCCAUGGUUGUAAUGUUUUAUACAGUCUAUUUGACAAUUGUGAAGGUUGCGGUAUAUUAAAAGUAGUGACUACUGAACUUGUAUUGAAAUUCAAAUUUUGCAUGAAUUUAUAUUAAAUUUAUUUUAAAAAUUCAACAUUAUAUUAAAGGUGACCCCCAAUUGCAAUAUAAUACAAAUUGAGCGCGCCUAAAUAAUGUGACGGUCAUGAAUGGCGUCACAAGUGUAUGGUCCCACGUGUAAGAAGCCACGUCACCCAUGUAUGGACCUACCUGCCAGCAUCCACGUCAGCACAACAAUGGGCCCACAUGUCAGAACCGUUGACCGGUUAGAUGACACAUCAUCACCAAAAAAA